rnacentral:lncRNA from 1 species
UCGAGCUUUUUCUUGAGUUCCUGUCAGGGAGAUCGCCGGAUCUCUCACCAUGGGCUUCACCGGACCGGCGUAAGGCCUUCUCCCUUUUCCUGCUGUCACCGGAUUUGGUCCAGUAAGCCGCCGGAUUCGAGGUGGAUAGAGCCUCCCUUUUCUCCGAUUCUCUUUAUUUCGCGGAUCUCCAGUGGCCGCCGCUGGGUUCAUCUCCUAGUCGGUGCUAUGCACCACUGUUGGCCGCCGGCUUGGUUCCAUGGCCAUGGCCGGGUGAAGAGCGGAAGCAAAACAGGGGUUCUGUUGCCCUGUUUAAAG